GCUGCCUCUGCUGCCAGGGGACACCAACUCAAAAGCACUGGGCACAAAAACUCCCUCCAGCUGGAGCCUGAGGGCUCUCCCCACCCCUGCCAGCAGCUCUUCCCUGUGUGGAGAUGCAGCGGCUGGAGAAUGGCUCUGUUCAGACCGUGAGCAGACUGAUUUAUGCUCGACCUCUGCAAAGGCAGGCACCACACUGCUGCCUGUCUUCCCUGGAGUUCUUCAUGACAGAAAAGCCUACAGACAAGGAAAUACAAUCGGGAACAGCUCCACCUGGUGACUGCUCACAUUUCUGCUCAAAAGCCUCCGUUUUCUGUCAAAAUUAGCAACCUGAGGUCUGACUCCUUGGGAAACCUCCUGUGGCCAUGAAGACCAAGCAGCACAAGCAAGACUUGGAGGGUUUGGUCCUGCAGAUGGCUGUGGAGAUGUCCUGGGGAGAACAGAACCUGCUGGAUGCUUCAGGAAGAAUUAUUUACCUGCUGCAUCCAUUUUUUUUUUUUUUUUUACUCAUGAGCUGCCUGAAGGGGGAAGUAGGAGAACUGACUCCACCAGUGCUCAGGACCCAUCCUCCCUCCAGGGGAUCUCUGCUGUCCAUGGGCCAUCGAGGCUCCCUGCAGGGCUGAUCCAAUUCCAUCAUCCAUGGGAGAUGCUGCACCCAGGGGAGGAGCCCAGCAUUCCCACCUGGAUAAACCCUGGGAUUCAGAGCCCAGCACAGCCUGUGUGCUCUGCAUUCCCACCUGGAUAAACCCUGGCAUUCAGAGCCCAGCACAGCCUGUGUGCACUGCAUUCCCACCUGGAUAAACCCUGGCAUUCAGAGCCCAGCACAGCCUGUGUGCACUGCAUUCCCACCUGGAUAAACCCUGGCAUUCAGAGCCCAGCACAGCCUGUGUGCACUGCAUUCCCACCUGGAUAAACCCUGGGAUUCAGAGCCCAGCACAGUCUGUGUGCACUGCAUUCCCACCUGGAUAAACCCUGGCAUUCAGAGCCCAGCACAGCCUGUGUGCACUGCAUUCUCAGAGGAACACCAGACCCAUCUCACACCACUGGAGCCUCCUACAGGAUCAUCUCUGCUCCAACAGAGCCACAUCUGUCACUGCAGGAGGAUUUAAUUGCACUGCUCCCAACACCCUGACCAACAGGGUGUCAGGUUGUGCUCUGACUCUGUCAUGGUUUUUUCUUUUUUUGUUUUUUUGCUUUUUUGUACUACUACAUUUGUAUAUUUAAUAUUUCUAGUAAAGAACUGUUAUUCCUAUUCCCAUACCUUUUCCUGAAAGCCGCUUAAUUUCAAAAUUAUAAUAAUUCAGAGGGAGGGGAUUUACAUUCUCCAUUCCAAGGGAAACUCUGCCUUUCCCUGGCAGACACCUGCCUUUCCAAGCUAAGACACAGGGCUGCACUGAGGGCUGGAUUUGGAAAUCACGGCAGGCACAGCUAAGCAGAGCUUGCAGCAUGACUGCGCCAUUCCCUGCCAGGGAUGUCUCCACACAGGCACAGGAGCAGCCAAACAUCCUUGCCUGGCUGGUUCAUGUGCUCAGCCUGCAGCCAGGCUGGCUGUGCUGCUGAGGAGGUCAGGAGAGCUGCUGUGUGGUCCCUCCACCCCACACGUCCUGUGCCUCCUGCAGCAGCAAGCCUGCAUUUUCAGAGCUGCAGCACUGCCUCUGCUCCCCUCUCCCACUUCCCUAGGGGUGCAUAUUCACUUGUGUGAAUUGCACUUGUGAAAAUGCACCUGGGGAUUCCAGCACUGGGGAAGGCCCUGCCCUGGGUUAGGGGUGAUGCUGGAUGAAAAUUUGGGAUCGCCUCACUUGGUGGCAAGUAAGAUCCAGAUCCCUUCUGUACCACUUUGGAAGGACACAGCUGACACAAAGCUGAGGUUGUUGCUUAAUUCCUGUAGUUUCAACUCAAACUCAAACCAUAAAAGCCAUAAACCAGGGUUCUUUAUUUGUGAAAAAUGGAUUAAGCUGUGAGGGGUUUGAGAGUUUGACUUUGACCUGCUUUUGUUUUUCAAACUUGCAGUUAGAUUCUGAAGUGCUUAGCUGGCAGUUCUGAAAGCAGCUCGGGGAUUUUACAAUGAUUCUUGGAGGGGGGUGGGGGAUGUAUUCAUGUGGGUCAGCUCAUAAGCCACCUUGAAGGGUUUUGUUUUCAGAAACUGGAGCUAUUGAAAAUGGAAAACACUUAUGACCUUUCAUUCGGACUUCCCUUACAUUCAGGGAUUUUCCUUCUGUUGAAUGGGCAUUGACUAGUGCCUUUAAUUUUUAUUUUGUUGUCUGUUAAUGCCCUCUUCAACUUUAAUUUCAGGCUGAAGUAUUCUCUUCCCUAACCUUUCUAUGAAAAUGGCCAUCUGAUGUACCUUGUGGCUGAGCAGAUGUUAUCUAUGUUUGGUAAUGAAAUUCUGCCCUGAGUAAUUGGACAUUCUUCCUGGUUCCUUGUAAUUAAGGCAGAAGAAAAGAACAAAACCUGCUGAUUUGAUAGGAGUAAUUGCUUCAUUAAGUUAUUUGCCUCCUUACCAUAACCAUCACCCCAACGGGAGCAGCCUGACCAUCAGAUCAUACAUGAUGAUCCUUUAGUGCUGUGGGGUUUUGGUGCUUUGUUGUCAGAUGGAAUCUCUGGGAAAAAAGUUAGGAAACACACAGCUAAAUUAUUUACCUCUUAACCAUAUGCAGUUAAGACCACAGAGGGCCUGGCUGUGCUGUGUCCUAAGCAAAUGAAUCAAGCUCUGGAAAAAGCAGAGAGAGGGUGACGAGGCUUUAGGUCACCGCAGCUGCCUGGCCUCCUGCAUCUGAGCAUUGUGGAUUGAUGCUGACAGGCUGAACAUCUGUGUUUUCCUACUGUGGAGCAAGAAGGGGAGAGAGCUGCAUGAAAUCCUGGCCAGUGGCAAGCAAAUGUGGUUCAGGACUGGACUAUGGCAAGUUCUGGCAGUGGUGGUAGCUGGUGCCAUUGCUGUUGUUUGUGUUUAGCCAUGCUGGGUUUGGCAGUCAGGUUUGCACAGACAUUUGGGGACACAGGGACUUACAGGUGGCCACACUGUCCCCAGUGACACUGAGGACAGGAAGACAGGCCUGUUGUGUGUUAAAUUACACAGAUUUAGCUGAGAUCUCAGCCCCUGUUUCCAAGAGAUUCUUCCCCAUCCAUGUGAACCUGAGCUGCUCUCCCACACAUCCCACCACCCCAUCUCAUGGUUCUUUGGUGCUCAUGAGUAACAGGUCACCCCAAAUGCACUCCAUAAACCUACCCUUACCCCUGAUUUCCAAACUGCAAGCCUGAGAGUCAGGCUGCUGCCUCACAGCAGCCACAUGAUUCAUAUGUGCCUGCAGAUGAAGUCAGGGCUUGGAGGAUUUUUGGAUGUGAAUUCCACUGAAUCAUCCCCGAGUGCUGCGGGAAGCAGUUCCAGGUCACUGCCAAUCAGUCCUGCAGACCUCUGCAUGAACAGCCUGUAUGAUCCAGGAAUGCUAUCAGGGGCUUUGAUCAUCGAGCUGAUUCCUAUCUCCCUCUCCAAAAUCUGGGCAGGUAUGUUUUCAUAAGGCUCCACUGAGCUUGGAGCAGCCAACAUUCCUGCAGCUGAAAAGUGAGGCAGCAAUGAGUUAGACAGCCCAGAGUUUUAAUCCCAGUUUGGAUAACCCCUUCUCAGAGCUGUUAAAAAUGAAAAUAUGUGUUUGCUUUUUUUUUUUUAAUAACUAAAUGAGGAUAAUGAAUGUAAGUAAGCAGUGAACUGUAUGGAUUAACUGACUGGCACAAGGGGUGCAUUGUGUGAGUGAAUGCUCUGCUAGGGCUGCAGGGGAAAGGCAGAGCCAUCAGAGGUGCCAUGAGAGUUUAAUUUCCUCAAGAAGGUGGCAGAGAGAAGGGCAGAUUCUGCCAGUGUCCAGUGCUUUUGUCCUUUCUCACAAGCAUCUCACUGUCCUGGGCACCAACAAUGAGAACUGGGCAGAGACAAUGGGGAUGGUGCCCUGCAAAGGGCACAGAGUGUGGGCUCAGACUGCUGACACAGAGCUCCUCCAGUGGAACUGAGCAGAUCCAGUGGGAUGAUGAACUCCUGACCCUUUGUGCUGGCUUGAUGAGUCCCAGCUUUUGGGUUCUGGGGUGAGUCAUGUCCCACUGCACAGGCAGCAGUGCCCAAGGCCCUCCUUGGUACCUGCCAGGGCAGCCCUGUCUCAGCCAAACCCCACAGGGUCUCAGCUCCUGUGUGCUGAUCUCCUGCUUCCUUUCUCUUGGAUCCAGGGGCUCUCCAUGCUGGGUUUUGCAGGGAUGGCCAGGCCAGAGUGCAGUGUCACUGUUCCCCUCCUGCUCAGUUUGGCAGCUGCCUGCCAGCACUGCAGCCACAAAAGGGUGAUUGGUCAGGAAAGGAGCUUGGAGGAUCAUUUGUGAAACAAACAGAGGUGGAGAGGGAGAUGGGGGGGAUUUAUAGUCCUGAGGUUCUACCCCUGUAUCAGCCGGAGACGCUGUUCCCCAAGGUCUGCUCUGAUGCACCUGGACAGGUCCUUGCAGUGUAAAUUCCUGCUUCCCCUUGUUGCUGGACACCCAGGGAGUUCAGUUCUCUGCAUGGCAGGCACUUCUGCCCACCAGUCAAUGCCUUGGAACCCCAGGAACCCUGAGCCUCACCUCACCUCUCUCUGGGAAAACUCCAUCCUCCUCCUCUUUUGUGGGAGAAGCUCAGUCAGAGAGACAGAAUGAGUCAGUCAGAGGCAGUGACACAGCCCAGCAUUCUCAAAUGUCUUGGGACAUUUGUAUAAUUCCUUGUAACAGUUUUUUUGGGUUUUUUUGCCAUGGAGCUCCUGCUUUCCUUACUUGUACCCUUCCUCCUCACUCCAACGUGCAUUUCUGGGUGCUGCUGCCUCUGCUGUUCUCUCCCUCCCUCUGACCCUUUCCUGGGCCUCUGGCUGCCGGCCUCAGCCCACGGUGUGGAGCUGGCAGUGCUUGUCUCUCCCUCCUCUGAUCACUGCAGUGUUUAGUUUGGGAGAUUGUGUUUCUGCAAGCAGGACCCCCACAUACUGGGGAACGUGGCUCCCUGGAGGAGGAUGCUGGGGGAGAGAGCACAGACCCCUUGCAGCUGAUGCCUUAAGAUUUCAGCCUUUACAUUUUUCAGAUCCUGUACUGCAUUAGUGCAUAACUCUAAAUUCCAUAGAAAGUGUUAGCUACUGUCUUCACACUUUGGUCAGACAGAACAAUUCCUCUGGGCCUGGAACUCAAGGACACCCUGCAGCCUCAGGCACUGGAAAGUAUAAACAAAAGUGAAUUGGGGGGAGCAAACUGUGGGAACGUGACUUCAUUACCUGAAGCUGUAAUUGGAGGACUAACCCCUGAUAUGUAAAUGGACCAAACUUAUAUCUGUCUGAAAAACUCAUGACCAUCUUGGGUGUAGUCUCUGUGAGGCUUUUGACUGCCCAAGGUGUAUGAAUUGCAGGCCUUUAAUAAAUACACACUUUAUUCUCCUAACCUUGUCUAGCCUCUGUUCUAGGGAGCAUCACAGCCAAUGCUUUUCAUGCCUGCAACAACUCUAACUCCUGUGCUGCAGGAAGAACCAGCUGCUGAGGGCACCACAGCUGGGCCAGGCUCAGCAGCUGCUGCAGGAGGUGCAACAUCUGGCUCAGAGCAGCCUGCCCAGGCUCAUCUCUCCAGAGGUCUCUGCUGUGUGUGGAUCUGGGCACCCCGAGGUGGGACAAGCGAGGCUAAUGCAGCCUCUCUGAUGGGUGCUGUCCUGGGGUGACUUUUUUAAUGCAUGUAUCCAAAAUAAUCUGUUCUGUUUAUUCUGUAUAUUAAGUUUUACACCUUUAAGACUGGUUCUGAGAGCUGAGGAGAGGAGAGAAGAAGCACUGAGUUUGUUUUCAGAACCUGCACUGCCUCCUCCACGUUCUGCUCCUGGACUGUGCUGUCUGCAGCACGGACAGACAGCAGGACAGAGAUCUCCCGUGCUUUUAGUUGGUUUUAGCUGGCUGAGGCAGAGAAGCUCCCUCGACUGUUUUAUUUCUUUCCUUUUUCUUGGAACUGUUUGAACCUGCUCUGGACUGAAAACCCAGAGGAGCAGUGGGAGCUCACACCUGUGAGGCCCAGGAUGGCAUUUCCAGCACAGGAGAAACUGAUAGGAGACUGAGCCAGCCCAGCUACACCCACAGCAAGGACUCUCUGAAUUUGCCAUCUCUUCAGAACAGCGAGAGGUUUUGUUGUUUCAUAUUAUUCAUUUUUUGUGCUUGUGGAUACUUUGUUAAAUAAAUAGUUUUUUCCACUUUUCUCUGAGAUUUUUUCCCCAGACUGAUUGGAGGAGGGGCUGUUUGGGUUUGCUUCCCAGAGUGACCCCAUUUGGAGAUUUCCUCCCAAAUUUGCCUUAAACCAGGACAGCUCUGUGCCUGUGCCAGGGCUGUGCACCCCAGUGCCAGGGUGGGUGUGUUUGGCAGGGGGUGCCCGGGGCUGGGGCAGGACGGGUGUGGGUGCCAGGGCUGGAUGUGUGAAGCUCACACAGUGCCUGCCAGAGCUGCAGGCAGGCUGAGCCUGCAGUCCACAUCCCUCCCUUUCAGGAACAGUAAAUUCCCUCAUUGACUUACGAAAAAGCAGGGAAAAAAAAAAAAAAAGCUCUAAAUGACUUACCUGUUGGGAGCCUGUGGGCUCUGCAUUGUAUUAAACAUUAACCUGCCCUUCUGAGCCAAGUGACUGAUUCUCUGGGCACUUCUGAGGCUGGGCAGGCAAAGGAAAGGAUUCUUUGUCAGAGAGUAUUUCAGAAAAUUAUCCCUUCAGCCAUUUUCUGUCUCAUCGUGUUUGUUUGGCCCUGCAGUAGGACUCCUGCCCCACAAUCUGCUGUUUGUGUUUGUGCAGUGGAGCUGAUCAAAUGGCCAAACAGCUCCCAACAAACUGCUCCAGCCACAGCAGCCCUGGGACCGUGGCACAGACACCCUCUGCACGAGUAAUCACACUAAGGGCUGGACAUGGAGCUG